rnacentral:lncRNA from 1 species
GAUUGUCAGGCAGAUCUGGCUGUGGAAAGGAGACUGUGGACAGCAAGUUUAGAGGCGUGACUGAAAGUCUUGCUGCGAUCUGAGCUGCUGAAUCAGGUUUCUGGUUACUAUGGGCAACGGCCGUGUUUUCUUUUUGAUGUCCUUUGCAGUGGAUCACAGCUACCUGCUGAGAAACUCCUAGAGGGCAGAGGCAUGCCUGCCAUCUUCAUCAUUGCAUUACCAUCACCCAACACUAUCAGGGGACCUGCCCUGAUAAUCAGUCUACAGUUGUAUCCAGCAGCUCCAGAGAGACAGCGACCAGCAAGAAGGGGCCAUGAUGAUGGUGGUGGUUUUUUCAAAACGAAAAGGGGGAUAUGUAGGGAAAAGAAAGAGAGAUCAGACUCUUACAGACUCUUACUGUGUCUACAUAGAAAGGGAAGACAUAAGAGACUCCAUUUGGAAAAAGACCUGUACUUUAAACAAUUGCUUUGCUGAGAUGUUGUUAAUCUGUAGCUUUGCCCCAGCCACUUUGCCCCAACCACUUUGACCCAGUCUGGAGCUCACAAAAACAUGUGUUGUAUGAAAUCAAGGUUUAAGGCAUGUAGGGCUGUGCAGGAUGUGCCUUGUUAACCAAAUGUUUGCAAGCAGUAUACUUGGUAAAAGUCAUCACCAUUCUCUUGUCUCAAUAAACCAGGGGCACAAUGCACUGUGGAAAGCCGCAGGGACCUCUGCCCUUGAAAGCUGGGUAUUAUUCAAAGUUUCCCCCCAUGUGAUAGUCUGAAAUAUGGCCUCGUGGGAUGAGAAAGGCCUGACGGUCCCCUAGCCCGACACCCAUAAAAGGUCUGUGCUGAGGUGGAUUAGUCAAAGAGGAAAGACUCUUGCAUUUGAGAUAGAGGAAGGCCACUGUCUCCUGCCUGCCCCUGGGAACUGAAUGUCUCGGUAUAAAACACGAUUGUACAUUUGUUCAAUUCUGAGAUGGGAGAAAAACCGCCCUAUGGUGGGAGGUGAGACAUGUUUACAGCAAUACUGCCUUGAUAUUCUUUACUCCACUGAGAUGUUUGGGUGGAGAGAAACAUAAAUCUGGCUUACAUGCACGUUCAGUCAUAGUACCUUCCCUUGAACUUCAUUAUGACAUAGAUUCUAUUGCUCACAUGUUUGUUGCUGACCUUCUUAUUAUCACCCUGCCCUCCUACUACAUUCCUUUUUGCUGAAAUAAUAAAGAUAGUAUUCAAUAAAAACUGAGGGAACUCAGAGACCGGUGCCAGUGCAGGUCCUUGGUAUGCUAAGCGCCGGUACCCUGGGCCCACUGUUGUUUCUCUAUACUUUGUUUCUGUGUCUGAUUUCUUUUCUGUCUCUCAUCCCACCCAACAAGAAAUACCCACAGGUGUGGAGGGGCAGGCCACCCCUUCAGUAUGAG